UAUAUAUCUGUUGUACGUAUUGGUGUAUAUUUUUGCUUCGUACAAGUAGAAAAAUGGGGUGUUUGGCCUAACUUUUAAAAAGCGCUUUUGGGUUGAAAAGUGAUUUUCGGUUCAAUAGAGCGUUUGGCAACCUCAUUUUUAAAAUCUGAUUCUGCUUUUCAGAAUCAAAAAACUGAUUUUGAAGGCCUUAGAAUAAGAAGCAGAAAAAAGCUACUUCUUGAAAUCUUAUUCUGAUUUUGGACUCAAACUUCAAAUUUUUAUUUUUAUUUUAAAUUCAAUGUUUAAAUUUAAAUUUAAUUUUAAAUUUUAAUUUUUAGAUUUAUUUUUGAAUUUUUAAAUUUUAACUUAAAAAUUUUAAAAUUUAAAAAAUAGAUUUCAAACUUUAAACUUUAAAUUUUAAUUUUAAAUUUCAAAUCUCAAAUUUUAGAUUUUAAUUUUUCAAAUUUCAAAUUUUAAAUUUUAAAUUUGACAUUUUAAAUUUUAAAAUUUAAUUUUAAAAACAUAAAAAUUUUAAAUUUAAAUUACAAAUUUUAAUCUUCAAAUUAUAAAUUUUAAAUUUUUAAAAUUUAAAUUUUAAAUAUUUAAAAUUUAAGCUUUACACUCAAAAUUUUAAAAAUCAUUUCAGAAAAAUCGCUUUUAUUUAAACUCAGCCAAACACACUACAGCUUUUAACCAAAACUAUUUCUCCAAAUCAAAAUCACUUUUUCAGAAUUUAUUUUUUCAGAAAUUAGGCUAAACGGGCCCAAAAUCUUGCAUAUUUGAUAAAU
rnacentral:lncRNA from 1 species